GAUGAACGCUAGCGAUAGGCUUAACACAUGCAAGUCGAGGGGCAGCAUUAUUUUAGCUUGCUAAGAUAGAUGGCGACCGGCGCACGGGUGCGUAACGCGUAUGCAACCUGCCUGUAAUUAGGGAAUAACCCGGUGAAAGUCGGACUAAUACCCUAUAUUCUUCUUUCUCCGCAUGGAGGAGGACGGAAAGAUUUAUUGAUUACAGAUGGGCAUGCGUCCCAUUAGCUAGUUGGUAAGGUAACGGCUUACCAAGGCAACGAUGGGUAGGGGGACUGAGAGGUUGACCCCCCACACUGGUACUGAGACACGGACCAGACUCCUACGGGAGGCAGCAGUGAGGAAUAUUGGUCAAUGGGCGAGAGCCUGAACCAGCCAAGUCGCGUGAAGGACGACGGUUCUAUGGAUUGUAAACUUCUUUUGUAGAGGAACAACGGCAGCUACGUGUAGCUGAGAUGCAUGUACUCUACGAAUAAGUAUCGG
rnacentral:rRNA from 1 species